rnacentral:rRNA from 1 species
UCCGUUUCGUGGAAGGCUGGAUUUCCGGACACAGGGGGUUACAAAACCCACGAGAGGAGGAAGAAACUGGAGCAGAGCCAACUGCAGUCGCUGCACGAAAGGGUAAUGGGGCUAGAGGAACGAGAAGCAGAUCGCAGCAAACGACCUGUCGAAGCUUCCCCUGAAGCUACCCCGCCAUCUCAGCGGAAAAGCAGCGUGGCUUCCACCGAGCUGCUUCAGCCAGAGCAUGCCUUGACGGCUCCUGCCAGCUAUCCCGUGGAUGCUAUCACGGAUGCUGAAAAUUGCCACCUUAUGGCGCAAUGGAGCAAUUUGAAGGUCAAGGCGGCUGUUGGCUUUGUUUAUCCUACUAAACCCGACUCAACUUUUCACUGCCGGCCGAUUCCAGAAGGAUAUGCUAAGGUGAUGGUCGAUGAAAUAACGGAGGGAUUUGAGGACCUCCGGCUUGACCACCCUACCGGUGAAGGGGAGUAUCGGCUGGGUUCUGCUCUGAAGACUCCAUGCCUAUGGCGGAAGGAUCUCAUCAACCUUCCGAACUGGACGCCUCCACCUCCUCCUCCUCCACCGGCGAGUCAGGGCACGCCGCCUCCUCCACCGGCGAGUGACGAUCAGGGCACUCGGCCCGCUCCUUCUCCGGCGCGUGGCGGCACUCCGCCUCCUUCUCCGCCUGCGCCGGCACGCCCGAGCAGCCAGCCUCCUCCUUCUCCGCGUCGUCAGCAAGGGCGG